rnacentral:lncRNA from 1 species
AGCUGCUGCCAUCUCAAAUACACCAAUACCACCAUGUUCUGCCAAGGGCAUGCUUCUUCCAAGCAGCUCCCAGCCGGUGACUGGGUAUGACAAGGACAUAGGGGAGGCCCGUUCUUGCAAGACAACACUUUCAAUAGGCAACUAUGGCUCUUAGACUCCUCAUUGAUCUUGCAAAAGCUUUCAGAAAUAUGUUAAGGUCUAAGACAUUCCUUCCUUCUCUCUCGAUCCUUUAUAGAGGUCAGACUGGCAUUGUGAUGCAAUAGCUCACUCAAGAUCCUCUGGAUCCCUCCACAUUUUCCCACAUAGGCAUAACGUCCAACAAAUCUCACAUGUCUGAUCCCAUUUGUGGUCAGAUUCUUGGGGGACCAAUAGUGGUCAGAGAAGGCAGAAGGGCACACUUUACACAUCCUGCACAACCAACAUUUUGUACUGAGAGAGAUCCAAGAAAGUAGACACUAAGAUAAGAUCUUCGAGUUGCAGCACUUCUGUCUAUCUGGUAAUGAAGACCCCAUCCCUCAUGGUAGAUAAAGAACAGACAACCUCUGGUAGCAGUCUGAUCAUUAAAACUUACUGAUGGUGUAUUGGGAUGAUAUAUUGGUAAAAAGAAAUGUGCUAAGUGGCAUGACACACUAGGCAUUUGUGAAAUUUGUUCUAUUAACAUGUGUUCUGUAUGAUCCUAGGAGUAAAAGGCAGCAAGAGUACUCCAUCUGCACAAAUAAGAGAUGGACAAUCAGGAGACUAAGGGCAGUUUCCCCAAUAAAUAUUCAUAAUCUUUUGCCCUGUGUUUAGACUUGGAACCCAUUGACUGAAUGUGUCUUCCUUUCUGAGAGGAGGAACUCAGCAAAACCCUGGGAAGGGUGCAUGGUAAUGAUUCCCCCAGUCUCUUCUCCAAAAGAGACCUAUAGCCAUUUAUUCAGGUAAUUGUAGACCGGAAAAAGGGUAACCAACCAUUUGGAGAAUGUGUGACAUGACUUCUGGGUAACACUGAUAUCCAGCAAUCCAAAGAUUCAUUAUGGAUCCCCUGUCACAGUGGAUGUGUAGGAGGGCCAGGUAAUAAGUGGAUUCCUCACCAAUAUCCAGCUCUUAGUGGGUCCUCUGGUUUGGGGAUGCACCUGAUGAUCAUCCCUCUUGCCUUAAUGUCUAGUCAGAAUGGGUACACCUGUCUAUUCAGGGUCUUGGCCUAUGAAGCAAGAGGUGUAGUGGAGAAGGCCAAGGAGAAGCCUUUGGAACUUCCCCUUUCUCAGGAUAAGAUAGUAAAUAAAAAGAUUGUGUGCUUGAAGGGAUGGAGGAAGUUAGUGACACUUUCAAAAUGACCUAAAGGAUGCGGGGGUGGUGGUCCUCAUUAUAUUCUCACUUAAUUCACCAGUAUGAGACCUAAGAGUGAGUCUACCUCAAAUUCAAGUGUUAACCUCAAUUAAGCUGCCUUGUCAGAUGUGCUCUCUGCUAGAGAACAUCGACAGUCUCAGGGACACAGUAUCUAGCCUUUGACUUGGUGAAUGCUUUUCUACAGAAUCAGGAAAGGGGCUGAGGAACAGCCUACAUCAACGUGAAAUGGACACUACACACAUUUAUCAUUUAGCCCCAGGGCUAACUUCACUUUAAGGAGUCCUGAAGCAGUGCUGUAAGAGGAUGUUUAUGAUGAAAAUGUUCUCCAAUCUGCUAUACAAUUCAGUAGCCGCUAGCCACACAUGGCUAUUGAGCACUUGAGAUGUAGCAUGUUGGAGGGCCUUGUUAAGUCACGUGUUAUCCAGAGCAUGGGAGACAGACACUAUGAGGAAGAAAAUGCCCAAGUUUGAUUCAUGGGUGGAUCUACCCGGGAGUGCAAGUCAAAGAUGGAUGGCUGCUGCAUAACACUCCCACUGGAGGGUGACCUUCAAUGAUGGCAAGGGGGAAGUACUCCUAAGGGGUAUAAGUUUAGUUGGUGCACUUGAUUACCCAUUUUGCAUGGAAAAAGAUCUUCAUUUUGAGGUUUAAGUACACAUAUGUACUAGUGGACAGUGGCAAAUGGCUUGACUCCUGGUCAGAGGCCUGGAAGGAGAAAAACUGGAAACAAGUUGGUGUGGAGCUGAGGCACAUGGAUAGGCAUCUGGGAGUAGAACAAAGUAUCUUUAUAAUGCACGCUACCACUCAGCAGAGGGGAUCUAUCAGAAAAGAUCACUAGUCUAGUAGAUACUAUAUGAAGAUCCUGCAAUAUUUAGCAGUUUGGAAAUGGGCACCUCAUUUCACACCAGGACAGGCCAAAAGAACAAUGGCCAGAGGAUUAAGCUGGCUGCUAGCUACCAAAUUAGGCCUAAGGCCAUAUGAAAGUCCAUGACAUUGCUGUUAUGUCUAUGAAGUUUGGGGCACUAAGAAUUCUGUAGAAGACCCAGCUAGAAAACACAGGGGUAAUAAGUUCUCCACAGAUAUGAAUAAGCAGUACAGCUAUUUUCAAACUCAAACCUACUGUGUUAACCAGAAAGAAAACACAACCAGAUCUACAAAGUUACAUAGAAGCUAGUAUUAUAUUGCUCCCCACAGGCAGAAGGCCCGAGGUCCAGGAAAUAGAUCUCAUAGGAAACAGGCUCAGGAUAGAAAGGCCUUUAAAAGAUUUGAAAAGCCAUGACUAAAUGGAACUGUAGAGCUCCAGGAAGAGGCACCAGAGAAGGAAGAUGUGUAAUACAGAAGUCCAGUUCAUCAAAAUGUCUUGGCUUCUUUGAUUUCUGCUCAUCCUAAUAAGUUUGUUGAAAAGCUUGGGACACUUAACCCAGUCUUGAGACACAGGUCCAGAUGCACUAACAUCCAAGAUGAAAGAGAUACCUGCUGGAGUCCAGGCACCAAUUUCACUCAAGAUCAGAGGACAACCAGGUUUUCAUGUUAAGCCCUGCUAUGCCUCAUAAAAUAUCACUUUCCAACUGUUGGGAAGAUGGACAGGUGAAAGCCUUUAAUGCUCCUUGACCUUAAUGUCUGGCAUCUUGAGGGCAGGGAAUUUGUCAUUUGUUCCUUAGAAGUGCUAUUGUCUUAGUUCUAUUGUCCUGAAGUCAUUAGACCCAGGUAGAGUGGACACUAAGCUUUGCCCACUGGACUGUAGUGAGCAUUGUUCUAUAGCUUCAAGACACUAUUUCAAGGGUAAAUAGUGUCAUUUUCACUUUGAAUUUGGCGUUUGUUAAAAUGUAGCCUCUAUUCCUUCUCUUACUAGCCUUUUUUUCUAGGCCUCCUCACCUGAGCAGACAGGGGGAGACUGGCCACUCAUUUCUCAGCUCAAUCCCUGUCCUGGGUCCUUUCUACAUUCUAAUCCUAGUACCUUAUCUAUCCACUAUCAGUCAAUUUGUCAGUGAGGGCUCUAGUUAUCUUCACCAUUUUGAGUCAGAGUCUAUGUUCUCCAAUCUACCAUGUGAUGGUUAAUUUUCUAUGUCACCUUGACUGGGCCAUGGGGUACCCAGACAUUUGGUCAUACUUUCUGGGGGUGUCUGAGAGGGUGUAUCUGGAUGAGCUUAAUAUUCGAAUUGGUAGACUGAGCUGAGCAGACGCCCUCCCUAAGGCAGCUGGAUCUCAUCCAAUCAACUGGAGACCUGAAUAGAAAAAAAACGGUAAGAGAACUCCUUCUGUCCAACUCCUUUGAACCUGGACAUUGACCUUUUCCUGACUCUUGGCUCCAACUGAAAUAUCAGCUAAUUUUGGGUCUGGAGCCUGCUAGCUUUCUG